AGCGUUUCCUGCCACACAAAACGACGUUAAGAAGAAUAAAAGACCCAGAUCACUCCCUCCCCUCGGCUUAGGUUCAAACCCACACAACCCUUCACCCGCCAGCCCCUAAGAGUUGUCUAAAAGUGAGUGGUAAAAAAGCAAGCUUGCCUUGCAACCAGGACUCUUCUUAACCGCGUUUUCACUCUUUUCAGUAUUUACGGUCUAUGCAUUAAACUCCCUCUGCUCAACAGCUAGGACAGAACCACCCCCUAAAGCACGUUACAGUGAGGUCUUCCCGCGUCUGUCUUUUGGAAAGCACUUGCUCCCGUAAACUGCCUUGGGCCCGCAAUCACAAUUUCAGCAGAAGUGGCUAAGAAGAGGGCUGCAAACAGAAACGUGAUCCCUCAAGAGAUCCCCAUCUAAUUUUGGGCAUCACUGAUCAAGAGCUGCCAUAAUGUGAAUCUCUUAAAUUAAAUCUUCUUAAUUUUUAAUAUCUUAGCCUUGGGGCCCAAUGAGAAAGAAAAGAGAACCCAGGAGUGCCAUUCUUCAUAAUCUGUGAUGUGUGCACUUUACAGAUAUAUUUUUAAUUGUGCAGCUCUAAUAGCCAACAUGAGUCAUUUCAUUAACUGAAGCCAUCUGCAGUCUGCUGCUAUUACUUCUGCAGAUCUUAGCAAAUGGGUUCCUUUUCUAUUUACUGUCUUGAAGAGAAGAAACUGAAUUUCCUACUUUGUCUUUUUAAAGCUGCCCAGAAAGUGGGAAAACUUCAAAGAACCAAAUCAAAUUGAGUUCCUCUUUAAUGCAAAUAUAUUCAAAGGAAAGCAAUUCAAAACACAUUAUUUGAAUAAUGGCAUCAAAACACAACCCUAUUAAAAUUUCAUUAAGUGCUAGUAACAUAAAAUUUUUGUUUGUAAUUCAAUAUGAAAAUGCAAUCUGAUAAUGGCCCUGGAACUGCAAAUCUAAAUGUAAAAUGAUAUUCCAUGUUGUGAUGCAAGUAGGCUAAGAUCUGGGAAACUAUGAGUAAUAACUUUCUGUUCCACACAAGGUCUAACAACAAUAUAUCCUCAAGCAUGCAUCUUAAUGACAGACGCUUACUAAGAAAAACAAAUAUAUCAUCAAGGCAUUCUUUUUUUAUUUUUUUCUUUUACAAUGAAAAUUCCUCUGCUUCAUUUUCCUUCCUUAUAAAUUUGGACUUUUGUUAAAACUCCUGCAAUCAAGAAUUCUGCAGAGGUCCCUCCAGAAGGAUCAAUUGUACCCUGAAUUUAAAAAAAGAAAGAAGGAGGGAGUGAGAGAAGGAAAUCAGCAACCGACAGAGGAGAGAGAAAUGGAAAAUGAGAUGAAAACCUUUGUCAACAAUUAGGCUGCAUUUUCAGUAUAAAUCUGCAGUGUCCUUCAGCAGCAUCUUAAUUCAGAUUGUUAUACUCAAAAUAAGUCAGAAAAGAUACUAGUUAAAACACCUCUCUACCCUGUCCAGGAGAAUACAGCAAAUGACUGCCAACAAGCUCUAAUCAUCUUUAUUAUCUACUGGAUUUUCCUCUUCAUUCACUGGUGUUUCUUGCAGAACCAGAGAAAGAUUUUAAGUUUCCUGCCAACCACAUAGUGCAAAAAACAGGAGAUUCAGACCAGCCACAGCGACUGGUUCAGAAGUCCAGUCAGCAUCCUUUCAGAGGUUCACAUAAGUUCUUUCUCCAAGCCAAGAAGCGGAGUGGUGACGUAAGCCUAGCCACCUUUGCCUUUGCUUGGACAUAGCCUGCCUCAUGGUGAAGCCAACUCAAAGAUCUAAGGAGAUGGAGAAAUAGUCCUAAUGCUGCCAUUUGAAUUCCUGGGUCCCAACUUCAAGGUUUCACUGUCACCUACAAUAGAGGUAUACUCACAGGGCAAGGACACUAAGGAGGAGAAUGGACAAGGCUAGUACUCAGAGAGGGGCAAGACAGAUAAGCUGUUUGGAGAAAAAUGAACAAAUUGAAAUGGAUUAAGAAUAAAAGAAGUGAAUGAGAAAGAAAUGAAAAUACUGAAGGCAGACAAGAAAAACCUCACAUGUAUACAUAACUGGUGGUCCUGAAGAAGAUAACAAUUACAAACUGAAAACCAGAAAUAAUAUUCAGAGAUGGCUGUAGGAAUCCUGGACAGAUGGUGGGUAUGCACAGACCCCUUGUCUCUGGGCCCUUCUCCUUCCUGGUUCCAUCCCUUGAGCUCCCUUGAGCUAAAUAAGCAACAAAAGCAGGUAUGCGUUCAAGGCUGGAGAGUACACAAAAGCCAUGGGUGCUCCAAAAUCUGCAAAGGAGAGUGUACAGGCUUCUUCCUCUCUGAGAUGCAAGAGAGCGCUUGGGUACCUGGUAAGGAGAAAGCCUGCCCCUUCCCAAAGACUGGGAAGACCCAAGAUCAUAUUGUACUUGUGGGUAUUCAGCUGGCAGAAAGCCAGGUCUCUCUUCUGAGAGAGCCUACAGCUUUGAGGGUAGUUCUUCAAGAGCCUGUCCAGGCUGCUGACUAAUUGCCCUCAGAGGAAGCCUUACUGGAAGGUCAAAUGCUAUCAAGCCUUGAUGUUGGGAGAGGCCUUGAGCAGUUUCAAGCCCAUUCAGCCUGGACUCCAAGAGGCCACAUCAUGGUGCCUCAGGAGACAUGUAAACAGUGUGUUCUUUGAUUCACAGUGGCUCAUAAAAGCAAAGUCUGCUGUGCCAGAAACUUCUGGGCCUCUGGCCACCUGCCAGCCUACUUACCAUUAACUCUAGCAGCAUGAACUGUAGAGGAAUGAAAGAAGUGCAGAACCUGGCACAGGUGAAAUAAGAAAAUGGCUCAUUAAAGACAACCCAAGAAUUUAGAGAAGCAGUAAAACUGACAAAAGAGCUACAUUGACCAAGAAAGAACACCCAAAUUAAUAAAAUCGGGAAUGAAGGAGGGGAUAUCACUACCAACCUUGAAAAAAAUUAGAAUGCUAUGAGCAAUAGAAAACAAUAAAUCAGAUAAAUUUGGUGAAAUGGAAAAAUUCCUGAAAGUCACAGGUUUCAAGAAGAAACAGAAAAUAUAAGUAGGCCUAAAACAAAGAAAGAUUGAAUUAGUAGUUUAAAAACCUCCCACAAAGAAAAAUCCAGAUCCAGGUGGUUUCAUUGGUGAAUUCUACCAAAAUUCUUUUAAAAAUAAUUUAAACCAACUUUUUACAAACUCCUUCAGAAAACUGAAAAGCCAAUUCCCAGCUCAUUCUGAGUCCAGUAUUAUCUUGAUACCAAAACCAGACAGUAGGAAAACUACAAACCAACAUCCCUUAUGAACACAGAUGCAAAAAUCCUUAUCAAAAUAGUAGCAAAUUAAAUCUAAUAAUAUAUAAAGCAGAUUGAAGACAAUCCCUAUCAAAAUUCCAGCUGCAUUUUGUACAGAAAUUGACAGACUGAUCCUAAAAUUCAUAAGGAAAUUCAAGAGAGACAGAAUAGCCAGAACACUUAAAAAAGAACAGGAGGACUCACAUUUCCUCACACUUCUACAAUAUGUUAAAACUUACUACAACACUAUGUUAAUCAAAGCUGGCCCAAGCAUAAACAUAUUGUUAUGGGAUGAAUUGUGUCUCCCUCCUCCUCAAAUUUAUAAGUUUACGUCCCAAUUCCUAGUACCUCAGAAUGUGACUGAAUUUGGGAAUAAGGUCUUUAAAUGGGUAAAGUUAAAAUGAGGUCAUUAGAGAGGGCUGCUAAUCCAAUAAGACUGAUGCCGUCAGAAGGACACCAUUCUUCUUCACCCCUGAAAGAAACACCAGGCAUGUGUGCACACAGAGAGAAGGCCAUGUGAGGACAGAGUGAAAAGGCAGUGGUCUGCAAGUCAAGAAGAGAGGCUCAGGAGAAACCACACUAAUGAACAGUUUGAUCUUGCACUUCUAGCCUCCAGAUUGUUAGAAAAUAAGUUUCUGUUGUUUAAGCCAUCCAGUCUGUGGUAGUUUGUAAUGGCAGCUCUGGUAAACUGAUACACAUAGAGAGCAAUGGAGCAGAAGUGAGAGUGCAAAAGUAAAUCCAUACAUCCAUGGUUAGAAAGAGGGACCGAGGUAAUUCAAUGGGGGUAAAAAGAGAUGGUGCUGGGAUAAUGGAUAUUCACAUGCAAAAGAAUCAAUUGGACCCUGACCUCAUACCACAUACAAAAUUAACUCAAAGUAGAAGAUGGGCCUAAAUGUAAGAAUUAAAACCAUAAAACUCUUAGAAUGAAACACAGGAGCAAAUUUCAUGGCCUUGGGUUUGUCAAUGACCUCUUAGAUAAGAGACUAAAAGCAGAAGUGAUAAACAAGAAGAUUUGUAAGUUGUACUUCAUCAAUGUUAAAAAAUUGUGUCCAAGGAUACGCAAGAAAGUGAAAAAGUUGGGGCACCUGGGUGGCUUAGUGGGUGUAGCCUCUGCCUUUGGCUCG